UACGAAGGGGGCUAGCGUUGCUCGGAAUCACUGGGCGUAAAGCGCACGUAGGCGGCUUCUUAAGUCAGGGGUGAAAUCCUGGAGCUCAACUCCAGAACUGCCCUUGAUACUGAGAGGCUCGAGUCCGGGAGAGGUGAGUGGAACUGCGAGUGUAGAGGUGAAAUUCGUAGAUAUUCGCAAGAACACCAGUGGCGAAGGCGGCUCACUGGCCCGGUACUGACGCUGAGGUGCGAAAGCGUGGGGAGCAAACAGG
rnacentral:rRNA from 2 species